AUAGGACACCCCUCUCUCCUCGUGUGAUGGUAUCGCCCCAUUAGCCUCUUCUGAGUUGAUGUCACCCUUUAUCUCACUGCAGAGAUGGUAUCGCCCAACUUCACCGCUUGAGCGGCGCUUUGGAAAGGCCUCGAGAGUUUAUGGAAACGGUCAGGUGUGUUUGAAACGCCAGGCACUGGAACCUAAUGAGAAAACAAGAGCUGGAGCCCGGCCAAAAAAGGAGAGCUUGUUGGUGAUUCAUUGGACCAGACCACACCAGGCUCCCCCACCCCAAUGGGAGAUAAUAAGGCCAUUUAUAUGAGUGUCAGUGGACAGGAAGCAUGACCAUAUCUGGACUCUGAAGGACAGACAAUCAAGUCUUCAGAAGGAAAUGUUGGAAGGAGAAUGAAAGUGGUCCACCAGGAGACUCGUGGAGGGGAGGUGUGCAGUGCGUGAAAGUACACAGCUUGCAAACAGAUCCCAAUAAACUGCAUUAAUCGGCCGUGCGGCUGGCCCGAACCUGCAAGCUAGAGCUGCUCAUUUGCCCUAUUAGUGAAGAGACUUGAGCCCAUAACCAGGUGGAUAAUCUCCCGGCUUUACUGCUUUAAUUAUGCCAUAAUCAGUGCAGCGGUCGGCCCCGUUUAAAAGCAGCCAGAAGUGAUACCUCACUGAUACCUCGUCUCUCGCCACUAGCCCAUAUUCUCUAUGUCACAGCCAAGCUCCUCUUUGACGAAGCAUGAUGAAGGGCGCACUAACUUUGUAGGACAAGACGAAGCUUAAACAUAUGGCCAGAAUCCCCCAGGUGCCAUCUUCAAGAGGGCUGGUCUGUGAUCCUUCCACAGCUCAAUGCUGUUCCGUGACUCAAACUCUUUCCUCUUGAACAUAUACCACUGGAUCUCUUAUUAUGACCAAUUUUUUUUGUCGGGUUCAUAUAAUUGCAUUUUUUGGUCUAGCAUCAAGUUCCAGAACCUUUAUAUGGUAAAAGACAUACGACAGGCUAAAAAGCUGCGCAUUCUGUGAGGGUUUUAAUGGCUUAAUGAGAAUGUAGAGUCUCAUCAGUGAGCCGUGUGCUCAACAUGGCAACAUUUCAUUUCAAUAUUUACAUGUUUGUUUCCUCAGUUUAUCUUGUUAAAUGCUUCAGUAAAAUGUUUUAG